rnacentral:sRNA from 1 species
GAUGUCAAGAAUGCAACUACACAAACUUUACACAGUUUUCUGCUGGAAUUACUAUAGAACGGAUACUUAUGAACUAUUUAGUGAGUUUUUCGUCUCGAAAUCUAAAAAUUAAAACAAAAAAUUCAGACGAAACCGACAGGAAACCAUUAAUUUGCUCCCAGUGCAAAGUGUCAACUUGUUUCGAGUGUUACAACCGAUUAUAUAACGAGUGCGGGUUUUGCGAAUGUUCUAUUAUGGCUGUAAGUGUACUUGUAAUCUUACAAAACGUUUUUUUUUUGAUUUUCAGGUAUUUCUAAAAUAUAAAGAUGAUGUAGAGGCAAGAACCAACCACGAGGCUUUGGAGUUGUUAAAGUUUUAUAAAGAAAACUGUAUUGAGGUUUUAGAGGAGUGGUGGGCAAGUGAC